ensembl:lncRNA
CACACUGUCAAUCAAUUUUGACCUAUGCCAUUGUAGUCACUGCUAGACUGGUACCUUCAGCAGCUAAUCUAAUGUUAGCAAAUAAGAGUAGCUCAAUCGGAUAGCCAUCUAUUCCACCCUUGUCUGGAAAACCCUCCGUUACUAAAAAUAGAAUUGCCGAUAUAGCGUACUCACUCUCUGUGUGUUGGUAGCAAUGUUGAGUGUGUAUAAAUCUAUGGUUGGUUAGUUGGUUCUCAGCUGGAUAGCAAUCUUGCUGCCAAUUUAGUGACGCUAGCUAACAGCAAGCUGACAAUCUUGAAAUGACCAUGUUAGGUGUGCAAAGCUAGCCAGUCUAAUAGAGAUCAAUACAAUUAGUGUGUUGUGUGUUUUGUUGUAGGUGGUACAGAAUCUGAUUCCCCUGGCAUGUGCUUCCAAACCCUAGCUCUGCACAAGUUGGCAAAAAUAUUUACAAGAUGAUGGCUAAGAUAGCUGAAUUUACAAUGAUCUGGAGACCUUCCACAGUGCCCUGCUGAAAAAUACCCCAUAACGUUGGGCAAUUUCUGUGCCUCAGUCUAGCAGCAGGGGACGUAUGGAUGGAAGCGAUGGAACCUUGGGUGUCAAACCCUGUUUACAACAGGGCUUGCUGUGUUUAGUCUCUUCAUUCCAGAAUGCCUUCCAUCAUUCUUUGGAAUUUACUGUACCUUUUUGUUGUUACAGUAUAUUUUAUGCUGCCAUUUGCAAUACUAUGUAAAAGUUCUGAGUGAGUCCCUAAUAUAUUCAGUCAUUGGUAAGCCUGCAAUCUGGUUUCUCUUUGUUUGCUUGAUAGUGAUGUUAUUGCCACUACACAUACCUAGACAUAAUGUACUGAUCUUCAACAUCUCAUAUUAUUUCUGCUUCUUACAAUAAAUCCUUGU